GGCCUCGCCCGCAGCUCCUGUUUUUUGGAUCGUGACUUCUUUCUCUAGGCGCCAGAUAGAGAAACUUGAGCGCUCCUUCCUUCCCCUCCUGCCGUGCGCUUCCCACUGAUCCGCCCCCACGUCGACCCCGUCUCCGGUCGAUGCCCGUGCUCCUGCAAGCCGCCGCCGACCUCCUAUGCCGAACGCCAUGGCCAUGGACCAAAGCUCCGCUGGUCCCUCCCUCGCGACUGCCAGUCUUCCUCCCGACCAGAUCGACGACGGCGAUGACCGGAUCUGCCCCGCUGCCGUUCGUUUCCAAGGGACGUCCGCAGAUGGGGUUUCUUCCUCUCAGCGUCCACCACCUGCGGGCUCACCGGUGAUUGGACCUGCUCAGCAUGCAGGAUUGCGUGCUUCCUGGCGAGGUGGUCGUGUCUUGCCCGACGCGCCCUCGGCAGUCGAGUCUUUUUCCACGGUGCCCCAUCCUCCAGUAGCUCUGUCGCCAUUUGCACCACCGUGCGCCACUGCCCGCUCGCGUGAACCAUCCAGCCAUCCUCCCUGGCGCUGCAAUCUGUGAGUAUGUUGGUGCAUUGCCGAGGACUGGAGAGAAAAGGUCAGGGUCUGAUAUGCAUAUGCCAUCACUUCAUGUUGAGAACAAUUCCGAGGCACCAUCGGCACCGGAGUACUGCAUCGAUGCUGGAUCCGUUGGAAGUUUCGCAAGGUUCAUAAACCACAGCUGCAACCCUAACCUCUUUGCCCAGUGUGUCCUAACCAAUCACCACGACAUCAAGCUAGAAAAGGUAGCACCUAACAUCGACAACUGCGAUGUCAGGAACUCCCUCACAAUUGCCGAAUAUGUCGCUGAAAUUACAACUUCUACAGACAGACCAAGGAGUUGAGUUGUGAGGCCCCCACUUACAUGACACACCAAACUGAUAUCAAUGAGAAAAGGCGUAGUAUUCCCAUUGACUGGUUGAGUGAGGUGCAAUACAAGCUUGAGCUACUAGGUGAAACACUAUUCCUUGCUGUCAACAUCAUUGAUAGAUCAAUGCAUAGAAAAACAUGUCUCGAGUUUUCUCUUGAAUGAAACCUGCAAGUUUCUCAACUAUUUAGUGAAGCUUACCUUGAAAAGAACUAUAAAUACUACAGGAAGGAGAGCAAGACAAUGACAGUUCGUUGGAAUAUGGAUUUUUAGAGGAUAUUUAUGGGUUCAAACCUCUGUAAUUACAUAUUACUUUCCUUGCUGAUGCUAUUGCUCAUGUUAUAAAACUGUCCUACUUCGCACACAUGGUUUUCA